rnacentral:tRNA from 1 species
GAGGGUGUAGCUCAGUGGUAGAGCAUAUGCUUAGCAUGCACAAGGUCCUAGGUUCAAUCCCCAGUUCUUCCA